ensembl:lncRNA
AUACUGGGAUAUACUGGUCCAUACUGGUCUAUACUGGGAUUCCCAGUCCCUAUAGGGAUGCCAUGCUCUAUACUGGUCUAUACUGGUCCAUACUGGGAUGUACUGGUCCAUACUGGGGGGACCGGUCCCGGUCCAUACUGGCCUUACUGGUCCAUACUGGUUCCCCCCCCCCCCCCCAUUCACUCACCGGGCCGGGCCGCAGCAUCGCGUUCCGGUUCCGAUCCGCUCCGAUUCGGUUCCGAAUCCCUUCGGGUCCGUUCGGAUCCGUUCGGGUUCGGUUCGGGUUCGGUUCGGGUCCGUUCGGGUUCGGUUCGGAUCCGUUCGGCUCCGUUCGGCUCCGGAUCCGUUCGGGUUCGGUUCGGGUCCGUUCGGGUCCGUUCGGGUUCGGUUCGGGUCCGUUCGGGUCCGUUCGGUUUCGGUUCGGAUCCUUUCGGGUCCGUUCCGGUUCGGGUCCGUUCGGGUUCGGCUCUAUUCGGGUUCGGGCCCUUUCGGUUCCGCCCUGGGUUCGAUUCGGCUCCGUUCGGUUCCGUUCGGUUCCGUUCGGUUCCGUUAUCGGCGCCGUUCGGUUCCGUUCGGUUCCGUCCCCGUUUGUCCCCGUUCGGUUCCGUUCGGUCCCGUUCUCGGCUCCGUUCGGUUCCGUUCGGUUCCGUUAUCGGCGCCGUUCGGGUCCGUUCGGUUCCAUUCGGCAGCGUUCGGGUCCGUUCGGUUCUAUUCGGGUCCGUUCGGUUCUAUUCGGGUCCGUUCGGUUCCGUUCGGUUCCGUUAUCGGCGCCGUUCGGGUCCGUUCGGUUCUAUUCGGCCGCGUUCGGCUCCGUUCGGUUCUAUUCGGGUCCGUUCGGUUCUAUUCGGGUCCGAUCGGGUCCGUUCGGCUCCAUUCGGCAGCGUUCGGAUACGUUCGGUUCCAUUCGGAAGCGUUCGGGUCCGUUCGGUUCUAUUCGGGUCCGUUCGGUUCUAUUCGGCUCCGUUCGGGUCCGUUCGGUUCUAUUCGGCCCCUCUCGGUUCUAUUCAGGUCCGUUCGGUUCUAUUCGGGUCCGUUCGGAACCGUUCGGUUCUAUUCGGCUCCGUUCGGAACCGUUCGGUUCUAUUCGGCCCCGCUCGGUUCCAUUCGGACGCCUUCGGGUCCGUUCGGUUCUAUUCGGGUCCGAUCGGGUCCGUUCGGCCUCCGAGCGUAUGGGGGCGUGGCCUGAAGCGGAGGGGGGCGUGGCCUGGAGCUGUGGUUCGCUUAUGGGGCAGCUGUGGGGCUGGAGGGUUGACUUAUGGGUCCCGAGGUUCACUUAUGGGUCCCGAGGUUCACUUAUGGGUCCAGAGGUUCACUUAUGGGUCCCGAGGUUCACUUAUGGGUCCAAAGGUUCACUUAUGGGUCCCGAGGUUCACUUAUGGGUCCAAAGGUUCACUUAUGGGUCCAGAGGUUCACUUAUGGGGCGGCUGUGGGGCUGGAGGGUUCACUUAUGGGUCCAGAGCUUCACUUAUGAGUCCAGAGGUUCACUUACGGGUCUGAAUGAUCACUUAUGGGGCAGAUAUGGGGCUGGGGGGUUCACUUAUGGGUCCAGAGGUUUACUUAUGGGGCAGAUAUGGGGCUGA